rnacentral:snRNA from 1 species
UUGCUAAAGCUGCCUUACU